AAAAGUAAGACUGAACAUCUGCAAAUUUGGCGACAGUGUGGCGCAUAUGAUGCACCAGCGGCUGAGCUGCAUUCUUGUGUAAUUAUAACACCACAUGCAGCUGUAAUAGUGUAAUUCUCUGUUUACAUUAGUUCUAGCACUUAUCCUAAACUCUGCUGGGUCAGGGUGCUAAGCAUUUGCAAACUGGUAGCUUUUUUUUCAUUCCCCCUAACAAAGAAAGCUGAAAGGACAGGAGGGACCGUAUGCUGUCUGCCCAUCGGUAUGAUACUGGGUUUGGGGGAAUAAUCUGUGAGAGGCAGGAGCCUGCCCUGCUGUGCAAAGCCAGGCUGCUGUCGCUACAAUUAGUACCGUUAAAAUUAAGUCAGUGAAAGUGAGAGCAGACUUCAGUCUUUCUCUCUUCCUUUUUUUUUUUUAAUUACUAUUAUUGGCAAUGCAAACCCCACAUCCUGAAGCGCACGUGUAACCCUGUAUUGUGAGAAUCGCACCGCUGCCCCCUGAAAACACAUGGUUUUACCCCCAUCCAACUCUUUGCAGGAUAGAGCGCCAAAGGCAACGCUUUCUCCAUCACCCCAGAGAAAGACGGGCCAUCCUGCCCUUCUGCCGAGCUGAAAGUCGGAUAUAAACUCCUCCAGGUGACGGAUACAUCUCAGCCUCUCCCUGAAGCAUCCUUGCCUUACAUCAGCCUUCCCGCACCAGCACUUUACAGAGACAAGACCUAAAUUUAGGCUUGCCAACUAGAUCUCUCAGCUUGCAGCCCGACGACAUUAGAAGUUGUAAAAGAAUUUCCUUGGAAGCUCAGGUCACACCUCUGCCAUGACCACUCAGUCCUGACGUUUUGAGGGCAUCUACCAACAUUUAGUGCUGGGCCUAAGGAGAGGAACAGGGACAGUCCUGCCCACCGCUGUCCUAUGUGGACUCACCGUUCCAGGUAUUGCCCACACCCUCCAAAUAACCAUUUACCCCAGACAUUAAUGCAUCUCACAUGCCCCCAAGGAACUGGUUUUUACGAAGACCAAAGCUCUGCCAUACCCUUCUGGCUGUUCUGUGCAAAAACGGAGACCUCUGGGCUUACAAUCCAACAUCUGAUGCUUGAACACUUCAGGAGCACCAUCCACAAAUGUGAGCAUCUCCACUUUUCAUUGACUUUCUAAACCAUUGCUUUGCAAAGGGAAUAAAAUGAUCCCCCCUGUACUCAACCUGAUGUUCACCAUUGAUGUGGGAGCUGCUUUAUAUCGCACCAAAACUGCAGAGAGCUCGGAGGGUCCAGGAAGCCGCCCCCAGCGACGAUGGCACUGCAGAGAGUGAACGCUCUUAUUAUAGCCUUGCUUUAACUAAUAGGCAGUGCUUUCCCUUCACACAUGUGCUUGGCAGCUGCCUGGCUGCUCUUUUGAAAGGAUGCCACAAGAUGCAACGCCAGAUGCUCAAGUUUCCAGAGAGGCCGAUAACACUGGACUCGACUCUGUCUUGUACUUGGCUGCUGUGCCAGAAAGGAAAAGGAUAAUAAAGGACCAGCUCACCACGGCAGGGACUGCAAGCUGGGAGUUUCUUUAUAUAAUUUAACAGCAAUAUGGCCAGAGAGGGAAAUGAUGCUGAAGGUGCUAAGCCAGUUAUUGCACCUUCAGGCUGCUCUGACGUCCUCAAGCUGCGACGACUGAAAUUUCUGGGGUUACCUCAUGACAAAGCUGAGGCAUGGUGGUGGUUUGCAGUGUACAGGGCCUGUCUUGUGUUCCAGCCUAUGAUUGUCUGUGUCCAUGACAGCAGCGAGCACUAGCAGGGAGCCUGUACCGUUCCUGUUCACACGAGCAGCAAUGUGCUGCUGGAAAUGGGCUUUGCCACACAUUUCAGGAUAAAACAGGCUGGGGUGUGAAGAGGAAGGUCAAGAUUGUAGGUCUAAUCUUCAUUAUGCAAACUGUAUAGCAUCAGUAGCCAAGCUUUAGAAACCUGCCUUAAAUCUGAUGUGUCUUUGUGUCUGAAAGACUUUAUUACAGUCCAAAGUGCUUUUGCAUUUCGGUUUCAACGUUAACAGGUUUUCCAACGGGCUUUCAUUGCUCGCUCUCAUGGCUGUGCGCUUUAGAGUUGUCAUUAUUGUGUCAGGAGUAUUUCAGAGGCGGCUCACGAGCAAGGCAUGCAAAAUCACACCUCCCUACUGCUGCGUCUGAUGGGUUUCCAGCUGAUUCAGGCAGGUCUAUUGAGGCAAGAGCAAUGGGGCAGAUAGGACAGCAUAACCUGCAACGUGCCCAUCGCUGCUCCUGCUGAAAUCCCUGGGUGCAGGAUUUGGUCUCAGGUAUAUUCGCCUCUUGACUGAGCUGCCUGUUAAAUGGAGGGUGAUCAUACAGAAAGCAGCUACCGUUACCAACAUAACCUACCAACAAUACAGCACAAUCACAGCUGUAAAGCAUCAUUAAACAGAGCGAUUAUGAAAUCUUCAUGGUGGUCUUAUGCAGUGGCUCUGAGGGCACAGAACGUCACCUGUUCCCAACCUGCGCGUGAUACGAGAGAGCGUCGGCUGGUCGACAUUAAAGCUUGUCCCUUGGUGUGUGUGGCCUGUGAUAUCCCCAGUAUGGUCCAAAGAAGAUUUGAUUAUUGUUUAUUACACCAUAUAUAUAUGUAAAUAUGCGCUGUAUUAAUCCCAGAUGUCUCCCGCUGUCUGCAGAGACCGGGAGUUUUUCCCAUCCUUUACAUCUUAGCUUGGUUCCUUAGGGUUUUGCCCUCCUCUGUCAUGACAGCAAAAGUUGGACUGUUGGCUUAGUCCAGUGACUCCAUCCUGCUCAUGCUAAUUUUGGGAUCAAAUUUUCAUGACUUUUGGUCUUUUGUACCAAAAGCCUUGUACUGACCUGCAAGGAGUGUUCGGGAUAUGGAGGGGGGUUGUUCCUGGACCAAUUUUUUUGCCUGACGGCUUUUGACCAGGUGGGCUGGUUGUCCCAUGCCAACACUCCUGGAAUAGAUGCACUGCCAGCUGCACGCAGGAAUGGUAGGAAAAGGGACAAAACAGAGAGUGUCACCACCACAUGGAAUCCCCAGAGCUUUUUGCAGCAUCUCACCAGGCAAACCACUUGCUUAAUGCCCCAGACGUGACAUCCAGCCCUGUGCGUGCCUCUUCUGCAAGUGCACAGCAAUGAGCAACGCUGUCUUCCAAAAGCUUCCUUCCUUGGUUGAAACAAGUCUGAAGAACUUACCCCAAAUCCUCCGCAACAAGAUUUCCCUUGGGAAGAGCAUAGCAGUGUUGCUCCAUCCGCUGGGAUAUUGCAGCGACAUUCUGUAUAUUCCCUGUGCACGAUAGUGUUAUGUAUUAUCUUAUGCACCCACCCACGCUGUUCCAUAUUUGUUCAUCAUUAAACAAAUACAAUCAGUCCCCACAUUCCAGAAAUGUGUCGGCUCGCAGCUAAUUAAAACCACCAUACACUUCAUUAUCCCGGCUUUUCUUUGGCUCUGGUUUCCACAAUCCAAAGAAAUAAAAAGGAGUUGGUUCUG